CUAAACCACAAAAUUCAUUUCAUCCAUCCUGCCGCUCCACCUUUCUCUACAAACCCUAGAUCCUCCACCGCUCCUCCACCUUUCAUCCAUGGAACCGGUCGUCGCCAUCAUCGUCCUCUCUCCUUCUCCACUCCAACAGUUGCUUCAUGAUCUAGGGUUUCACUGAGAAACCAUUCGUUUCAUGAUCUAGGGUUUCUCUGUAGAUCUGACGCUAUCUCAGCAGAUCCGACACCAGAUCGAUUUCUAUGGCUUCUUUCCCGGUGGCUUCAAGAUCCGACACUAUCUCGGUAGAUCCGACACCAGAUCUACUGGUUUGACCAUCUUCCGUUUGGUUGUGGGUUCGUCAACGAUGGUGGUUGUGGGUGGAAGAUCUGGCCAGAUCUAUGGUUUAUUUGUAAGUAGAUUUAUUUUUGUUUAAAUUUAUAGGUUUUUUUUUAUGUGUUUUAUGUUUUAGGGAGAUUUCAUUUGGUUUUCGGUUUCUUUGACAGUGGUUUCAAAAUCAGGGAGGUUUUUAACUAUAUAAAACUAUAUUAACCAUUUGAAAUUCUACAUAAAAGUAUCAGUGUAGAAAUAGUCUGAUGAUGAUGACAGGUUGAUUUGAAGGCUAAACAACUCAAGAAGGCACAAGUUGUUGUUUGAUCAUCCAGAGCUGUUUUAUUUGGUUUUUUCAUCACCUGAUACCCUAAUUUAUUCAUUUGAGGAACUUCGGAUUUGGGUAUCCUAUUGGCUUGCUUACACAAAACACCCACGCGCACCAACACGCACACUGUACCAUCAAAUUUUCAUCGAUAUCAUUUAAAGCAACUUUUAAAGAUUCAGAUGUCUCCAGUUAGAUACUUAACCCAAUAGUAUAUGAUGAUAAGUGAUAGCAAUUGGUCUGCUUGAGAGUAUUUCUUUAGUAGGGGAUAUGGAAUUUGCUAUUGUUGAUGAAGCUACCAUUUGGAAUUUUUUAAUACCUUUAUUUCUAGAAAGUAGAAAUCAAGCUCUAAACUCUUUUAAUUGGAAGAAUCUCUCUUUAAUGAAAAAGAUAUGAGCAAACCACACAUUUAGCCGAGGCAAUAUAAAAGUGUAGAAUGGUCAUAUUAGAAGGGUAGAUUUGUUAUACUGGAAGGGCAGAAUGGUCAUCUUGCGACUUUUAUUUUGUCGGAAAUACCUACAGAAUAGGCUUCAGAUCAGACAAUGGUGUGGAAACGAGUGGCCGCAAGGUGUGAUAUGAUCAAUCUCAACAACUUCAUAUAAGGAAGCAAAUGCAUGAAACAAUGUACUCUCACAACUGAAAUAGAAAAUGUUCCCUAAAACAUGUGGCGUUGGAAUGCACUCUCCUGUCACACUAAAACAUGUUCUUCCACCAAAAGCGCAGCCUAAACAGUGCACCAACACAGAACCGUUUCGAUUAGAGGUGUAGCAAGGCAUGGAGAAGUACAAAAGGAAAUGGAAGAAAGCCUAACCCACCUAACCCACCCCAUGGUGUUGUAAGAAGCUCAAUGGCUAAAAGUUUGUUUCAUGACUGAACUCGCCUGAUUUAUUCAAAGCUGAAGGAUACAAGAGGGGAAUCCAGAAAGUUGUACAACCAAGGAAAGGGUUUGUAGUUGAAGGUGGGUAAAAGGGUUUUGAGCAUGUUAUGAUGGAUACCACAAGAAACCUGAACACCAGACUCCAGGCACCACCUCAGCUGCUUCAGAUAUGAAGACUCCAGCAACAUCUAAUGUGUCUCAGUCUCAUGAGAUCAUUGCCUACCCGUUUAGAAGUCUAAUUCAUGGUAUGCAACAACUGUGAGGAGAUACGGAGCUAAACGGGUCAUCAGUUACAAAUUUGACAAUACUUAGAUCGGCUAAUUCGAAGAUUUUUCAUGGCUUGCUUCUGGUUCGUAAUACUACAUUGCCUUCUGCUCAAGAAAUAUUAAUUUGUUCAUUACUUUGUAUCGGGUUUUGCAAUUUUGGUACCUAAGGCUGGGAUGUUUAGGAUUUGUUAUUAGAUGUAAUCUGUUCUUUGGUCCUGAGUAUAGUGCAACCAAUACCUUGCUGGAUACAGUUGUAAUGCCUGUUUAAUCAACGCAAGUUGGAUUGGCUGUUAAAACAAAAAAAUUAAACUCACUAAAGAACAAGAGCAACAAAGAAAUCAAAUUUACUUUUAUUGUUGCCUGCAAAAUAGUACAUGCUCAGAUGCAAAAGAAGGAACAUUAUAUCACUUCAAAUAGAAGCUAGAAAACAACUAAUGAACCUAAAUAACCGUGAGAGAUCAGGCCAGCUACUGUUGACCAACGAAUCUUUAAUAUUAAAACUCAAACAAAUCAGAAGCACCUCACUUGCAUGAACAUGAACUUAAAGGUUUCUUUUACGAGACUCGGUCAACUAUUUGAUAUUUGAGUUAUUGGAGGGUGUGGUAUAAAGCCCCUAGAGGCUUUAUCACGUCACGUCAGAUCCACCUAGGCGUCACGUCAUAUGGGGGGCUUUAAAGCCUCUCCUUUUAACUUGCAUGUUGUGGUAUAAAGCCCUCUAUUAAACAAAAUUAAAAAAAAGAUUUAUUGGUUAAAAAUAGGUGGGUCCCCUCUAUUAAACUCAAUUAUUUUAAUUAUUUAAUUAGUGAUCAAAGUUGCCUCUUUUAUUUAAAGUAUAAUAAUAAUAAAAGAGAUUAACUUAUGUAUGAUCCUCAUGUGUUUUAGUUGUUUAAGUAUUCAGAUCUUUAAAUAUAAUCUCAGGUUUGUUUCUUUGGGUUUAUGGAUCCUGAACUAGCUUUUGUGAGAGUUGCACACCCUAAUCAAUUGAUCUUUUUUAUCUUCUUAUGGUUGUUGAUUUUUGCAUCUUGUUUCUAGAAAGAAUAUGGGGCCCUUUUUCAUGUCUGACCACAGGUGAGCGGGAGGAUAUUUGAGCGCCACAAUUCAACAUUUAAAUAGUUUUAGGAGGGGGAGAAAACGAGAUAGAGAGAGAAAGAGAGCCAUACCUGCCAAUGCAGAUGCAGACUUGCAGCUUUUGAGUCCUCAUGAAAGAGAAAGACAACUAAUGUAGCAGAAGAAACACAAUCUUUAAGGACAUGAAGAAAAUGUGCUACCAAAACUUGAAAGAAUCAAAUCCAUGUUUACUCGGCCUCUAUCAGGGACGGGUUCCGGUCCAGGUGCACAUAUGCAUAGAACCGAUGAGGUUUGGCAUGACGAUGCGUCACAGGAAGCCAUUGAAAACUGGCCUGAUAGGCCUUUUGAUCCGCCAAGAAUGUGCAUUUGGGCGCUGCAGGGAUAUAUGUGUAUGCACGAUUCUUAUAUGUAUUCAAUGUCGGACUGUUUUGUGACGAUGUGAGGAUGAUGAUCAAUUUCAAGCCUUCAACUUAAAUGGACUACUCCAGUUGUAGAAGUGAGUCUGUACAUACAAAAGGCAUCAUAACCGACUCUUAAACAAGAGCUUGAACGGUAUUCAAUGGUGCUGUUGAAGACCAAACAGCAGUCAAGGUACAAAGAGAUUUGCUAGGCUGAACCUCAGAGAUUGCUGGUAUUGGUUGGGAGGUUGUCGGAGGCAUAAUCCCGAGUGUUUGCUUUGGCUAAGAAUGGGUUCACGACCUUUGGGUUGUAGCGAGUUCAAGCCUGAGCGAAUCAUAUAUGGACAUGAUUAUAUGUUUUAGUCUCAUUAGUCAACUGUUUGCUGAAAAAUAGUCAACCUGUGAACACGUGUGACGUAAUUGGUUUUUACUUUUUUUAUUUCAUAAAAAUGUUGAUUUAGAAAAUUUGAAGUGUAAAUGGACCGUGUUCGUGUCAAUUUGUGAUUUUUAUUGCAUUAAUUAUGGUCUCUAUGUGCUA